rnacentral:rRNA from 1 species
GUCUAUGGCCAUGCUACCCUGAACAAGCCUGAUCCCGUCUGAUCUCAGAAGCUAAGCAAGGUUGGGCCUGGUUAGUACUUGGAUGGGAAACCACCUAGGAAGACCAGGUGCUUGUAGGUG